rnacentral:rRNA from 1 species
GAUGAACGCUGGCGGCGUGCCUAAUACAUGCAAGUCGAGCGAACGGACGAGAAGCUUGCUUCUCUGAUGUUAGCGGCGGACGGGUGAGUAACACGUGGAUAACCUACCUAUAAGACUGGGAUAACUUCGGGAAACCGUAGCUAAUACCGGAUAAUAUUUUGAACCGCAUGGUUCAAAAGUGAAAGACGGUCUUGCUGUCACUUAUAGAUGGAUCCGCGCUGCAUUAGCUAGUUGGUAAGGUAACGGCUUACCAAGGCAACGAUGCAUAGCCGACCUGAGAGGGUGAUCGGCCACACUGGAACGGAGACACGGUCCAGACGCCUACGGGAGGCAGCAGUAGGGAAUCUUCCGCAAUGGGCGAAAGCCUGACGGAGCAACGCCGCGUGAGUGAUGAAGGUCUUCGGAUCGUAAAACUCUGUUAUUAGGGAAGAACAUAUGUGUAAGUAACUGUGCACAUCGUGACGGUACCUAAUCAGAAAGCCACGGCUAACUACGUG